UAGCUCAGUGGUAGAGUGUUUGCCUAGCAAGCACAAGGCCCUGGGUUCGAUCUCCAG
rnacentral:tRNA from 1 species